GAUGAACGCUGGCGGCGUGCCUAAUACAUGCAAGUCGAGCGAACGGACGAGAAGCUUGCUUCUCUGAUGUUAGCGGCGGACGGGUGAGUAACACGUGGAUAACCUACCUAUAAGACUGGGAUAACUUCGGGAAACCGGAGCUAAUACCGGAUAAUAUUUUGAACCGCAUGGUUCAAAAGUGAAAGACGGUCUUGCUGUCACUUAUAGAUGGAUCCGCGCUGCAUUAGCUAGUUGGUAAGGUAACGGCUUACCAAGGCAACGAUGCAUAGCCGACCUGAGAGGGUGAUCGGCCACACUGGAACUGAGACACGGUCCAGACUCCUACGGGAGGCAGCAGUAGGGAAUCUUCCGCAAUGGGCGAAGGCCUGACGGAGCAACGCCGCGUGAGUGAUGAAGGUCUUCGGAUCGUAAAACUCUGUUAUUAGGGAAGAACAUAUGUGUAAGUAACUGUGCGCAUCUUGACGGUACCUAAUCAGAAAGCCACGGCUAACUACGUG
rnacentral:rRNA from 1 species